rnacentral:lncRNA from 1 species
CCAAACAGCUCUUCAACCACUUGCGGCAGAAUUUCAAAAUCUAUUUAGUAUGGAGAUGUUGGCACAAGAAGGUGAACUGUCAUUAUAUAUCAAUCUUUUGCUCUGGCUGCUAUUGACUUGACUACAUUGUCUCACUGAGCAGUGUUUUCUCAUGGAGGAAAGAAAGAUGGGCCAAAUCAUGCGGGUAAGUGCCCAAGAAAUUUCAUACUAGCUACUUCCACUACUGUCACCCCUAAGUAUUGCAUUAUUUGUGAGAGUUCGGCCAUUUGAAGAAAAGACAUCGGAUUAUACAAAGUGUCCCUAAUGCUAUGAUGUUGACAUAAUCUGGUUGGCGG